GGAUGCUUGCAUGGUCCUACCGCCAGGACAGUAGGACCAAGGGCACACGCUCAGGCCGGGCCUGGGAGCUCAGAGGCAGAUCAAACAUGUCAUCUUUUUGUAGCAACUUCUGGAAAACCGUGUAGAAAAUGGCUCAGUUUGUCUGAUGACACUGUGCAGCACAUGGCCGUGGAUGUGCUCAUCACUGGCACCUACGCUCGUUGCAUGUGACACACCUGGAGGUCCUGUUGGAGGUCAAACAAAGGUCACCCUGCGAAACGAACACUGGCGAUACAUCGUUACAUGUUCCGUCAAGUGGUCAUGAGAUUGGUGGGCGUAGCAGCUGCAUUGCUUUAGUGUCGUCUUGGAUGUCUCUGAAUCAACCCGCUUCAAACCUAACUGUAAGU